AUUGAACGCUGGCGGCAUGCUUUACACAUGCAAGUCGAACGGCAGCGGGGAGGAGCUUGCUUCUCUGCCGGCGAGUGGCGAACGGGUGAGUAAUACAUCGGAACGUGUCGAGAAGAGGGGGAUAACCACCCGAAAGGGUGGCUAAUACCGCAUAAAUUCUGAGGAAGAAAGCUGGAGACCUAGGAAUAGGCCUAGCGCUUUUUGAGCGGCCGAUGUCGGAUUAGCUAGUUGGUGAGGUAAAGGCUCACCAAGGCGAAGAUCUGUAGCGGGUCUGAGAGGAUGAUCCGCCACACUGGGACUGAGACACGGCCCAGACUCCUACGGGAGGCAGCAGUGGGGAAUUUUGGACAAUGGGGGCAACCCUGAUCCAGCCAUGCCGCGUGUAUGAAGAAGGCCUUAGGGCUGUAAAGUACUUUUGUUAGGGAAGAAAAGUCAGCUGUGAAUAAUGGCUGAUACUGACGGUACCUAAAGAAUAAGCACCGGCUAACUACGUG
rnacentral:rRNA from 1 species